rnacentral:misc_RNA from 1 species
UUUUGGAGAUCGAUCGUAAUAGUUGCUUGUGAUUGGAAUCCUUUCGUUGGUGGUAUUAAACAUCGUUUGAUGUCUCGUGGAUUAGCCUCUAUGCCCGUCUUCAAGGCAUGGAGAUUGCUAUAUGGAAUGUGGCCCUUCCACCCUUGGCUUUGGGAGCUGCCACACGGCAUUCUCUUUUCUAAGGCAGUGGAAUGAGGGCCUCGUGAUAUUGUUGCAAAUGUGGCUCCUUCGAAAUCGGGUCUUGGUGUCGUGGCGCCUUUGCUCGAGUUGUGAUUUAUCCAAGCGGAUAGUGCCUUCAUCUUCUGUGCGACUUUGGUGCUUUCCCCUCCUGUCAUAUGAAAUGUAUGAUUGUGGUGGGGUGAGAUCAUGGUUGCGUUGAGGACGUGCUACCUGGUUGAUCCUGCCAGUAGUCAUAUG